AUGCAAGAUUAUUUUUCGGAGAAUCCUACAUACCUUGCACACUUCUUCCGCAGAAGGUACCGAAUGCACCGAUCCCUUUUUGUGAAAAUUGUUGAAGCUUGCGAGGCAAAUUGCCGGUAUUUCACAAAAAGAAGGAAUGCCACCGGCUUAAAGGGAUUUAGUGCAUAUCAAAAAAUCAUGAUUUAG
rnacentral:rRNA from 1 species